AAAGGCGCUUUCGGGUGUCGCUGAUGGAUGGACCCGCGGUGCAUUAGCUAGUUGGUGAGGUAACGGCUCACCAAGGCCACGAUGCAUAGCCGACCUGAGAGGGUGAUCGGCCACAUUGGGACUGAGACACGGCCCAAACUCCUACGGGAGGCAGCAGUAGGGAAUCUUCGGCAAUGGACGAAAGUCUGACCGAGCAACGCCGCGUGAGUGAAGAAGGUUUUCGGAUCGUAAAACUCUGUUGUUAGAGAAGAACAAGGAUGAGAGUAACUGUUCAUCCCUUGACGGUAUCUAACCAGAAAGCCACGGCUAACUACGUGCCAGCAGCCGCGGUAAUACGUAGGUGGCAAGCGUUGUCCGGAUUUAUUGGGCGUAAAGCGAGCGCAGGCGGUUU
rnacentral:rRNA from 1 species